UUUUUUUUUUAUUUUUGUCUUUUUGCCUUUUCUAGGGCCACUCCGAGGUAUAUGGAGGUUCCCAGGCUAGGGGUCUAAUUGGAGCUGUAACCACCGGCCUACACCAGAGCCACAGCAAUGAGGGAUCCGAGCCGUGUCUGCAACCUACACCACAGCUCACGGCAAUGCCAGAUCCUUAACCCACUGAGCGAGGCCCGGGAUAAAACUCACAACCUCAUGGUUCCUAGUCGGAUUCGUUAACCACUGCACCACGACGGGAACUCCCCCAUUUUAUCUUUUUACAGCCGUACCUGCGGCACAUGGAAGUUCCUGGGCCAGGGAUCAGAUCAGAGCCAAAGGUGCGACCUACGCCACAGGUAUGGCAACACUGGGUCCUUAACCCACUGUGCCCAGCCAGGGAUCGAACUUGCGUCCCAGCACUCCCAAGAUGCAGCCAAUCCCAUUAUGCCACAGCGGGAACUCCAAUGCCAAAUCCUUAACCCGCUGAGCGAAGCCAGGGAUUGAACCCACAUCCUCACAGAGAUAACACCAGGCCCUUAACCCCCUGGGCCACAUCGAGAACGCCCCUCCUGCCCUGUUCUGUGUUGUUUAGUGUUUGUGAGCCCCAGGGUCUGGAGGGUCUACCUCUGGAGUCCUUGGCAAUCCCUGGGUUUGGAGAUCAUCUGCGCAUUUUACGUACGGAAGUGUCUGUCGCCGUGGGUGGUUGGGAGUGAACAAUACUAGAUCUAUAGCUUUAGCAACCAAGACUUCCUCAUGUCCAGGAGCUCAAAUACAGACCGAACACAGCAAUCAUUUGAAGGCCACGGAAAAGCUGAUGCUGGUGUUCUCCGGGGGCCGAGAGGUUAAGGUUAAGACCCCCGCGUUCACAAGUGGAAUAACUUAAAAUUCUAAGAGUUCUUAUUUGAGGAAAGGAAUUAGGACAACCUUUCUGUGACUAAGAGGCCAAUUUUGCAUACUUCAACGUUAGUCGCUUUGCAACACAAACCUCCUUCUCGCACCCGCCCAACACACACACACACUUACUUAUUUUUAUUUUUAAUUUUUUUUGGCUUUUUUAGGGCUGUGCCUGUGGCAUGUGGAGGUUCCCAGGCUAGGGGUUGAAUCCGAGCUACAGCUGCCGACCUACACCACGGCUCAGGGCAACGCCAGAUCCUUAACCCACUGACUGAGGCCAGGGAAAGAACCCGCAACCUCAUGGUUCCUAGUCGGAUCCGUUUCCCCUGUGCCACGACGGGAACUCCCCCCCCCCACACACACACACUUAUCUCAUUCAUUCCUGGACCCCAACGCCAUGUCCAGCUGCCUCCAUGAGUGAGCGGAGUUUUGAGACCAGUCCCAGGACACUCUCACGUCACAGCCAGUGCCUGGACCGUCCUCCUGAGAGCCCAGCUGACCGCGGGGACCAGGGCUCCUCAGCCCACAGAGGGGUUUGGGCAGGUCAGGACGCCACAGGCCAGGGUCAUCCCUCUUGGUCGAGACCCCACCAGGCACCUGUCCUCCCGGGACACCUGGUCCCACCACCCUGUCUGCUGGCUGUCCUUGUCACUUCAGCAAACCUAAGCCACAGCACUAGAGAAAUCAGUGCUCUGCAUGCACUGGAGCCCCAGCAACCCCCCCCUCGCCCCCCAGUAUGGGCUGCUGGGCAGACCUCCCAUCACCCAGGUCACCCCCUCCUGGUUCCGGACACCACGGGCACUCCCCCUGCCCAGGACAUUUAGAGCUACCCCGACU
ensembl:lncRNA